CCAUGUAGCUGUGAGCUUCCAUAUAAGCUUCCAUGUGGCUGUGAGCUCUCAUGUCAGCUCCCAUGUGAGCUUGAAUUGUGUUUCUGCCAUGAGUUGUGACUUGUGCCACUUGGAUUCAUAUCAAGUAGCAUCAGAAAUUCGAAUUUGUGAUUUGCAGUGCACAAACUAGUUUCAGACUAUGGUUUUUGUAAGAACUUGUACAAGAUAAAAGUGGAAACGGACUCUUCAACAUGAAGGAGCAGAAAUAAGUCUUGGCCUAAAACAUUUUGUUUGAUAUGUAAUUGUUGGUGUUUAGUAAUAGUAGUCAUUGACAAACCCAAGUACUGAAACUGUCUGGUAGCCUCAAAAGAAAGGUGAAAGUCAACCUAAGUUGUGAUUGGUGUAAUGUGAGUUUCUAAGCUAUGCUAGGUGUGUAUCGUAAUCCCUAGUUCUGAAAUGAAAAUUCACAUAUCCGAAUGAACACCGGAUUAUAACCAAUGAUUUGUUAGUAGAUGAUACACAUGUACUGCUAAACAGACAGACAAAUGAAGUUGAUAUUCAGUUCUC